GAUGAACGCUGGCGGUAUGCCUAAUACAUGCAAGUCGUGCGGAAAGGCCUCUUCGGAGGUACUCGAGCGGCGGACGGCAGAGUAACGCGUAGGAACAUACCCCAAACUGAGGGAUAACUGCUCGAAAGAGUAGCUAAUACCGCAUGUGGUCUUCGGACUAAAGCUUCGGCGGUUUGGGAAUGGCCUGCGUUCGAUUAGCUAGUUGGUGAGGUAAUUGCUCACCAAGGCGACGAUCGAUAGCUGGUCUGAGAGGAUGAUCAGCCUGACUGGAACUGAGACACGGUCCAGACUCCUACGGAGGCAGCAGUAGGGAAUUUUCCACAAUGGGCGAAAGCCUGAUGGAGCAAUACCGCGUGCAGGAUG
rnacentral:rRNA from 1 species